rnacentral:rRNA from 1 species
GACGAACGCUGGCGGCGUGCCUAAUACAUGCAAGUCGAGCGAAGUUUUUCUGGUGCUUGCACUAGAAAAACUUAGCGGCGAACGGGUGAGUAACACGUAAAGAACCUGCCUCAUAGACUGGGACAACUAUUGGAAACGAUAGCUAAUACCGGAUAACAGCAUUAACUGCAUGGUUGAUGUUUAAAAGUUGGUUUUGCUAACACUAUGAGAUGGCUUUGCGGUGCAUUAGCUAGUUGGUGGGGUAAAGGCCUACCAAGGCGACGAUGCAUAGCCGACCUGAGAGGGUGAUCGGCCACACUGGGACUGAGACACGGCCCAGACUCCUACGGGAGGCAGCAGUAGGGAAUCUUCCGCAAUGGGCGAAAGCCUGACGGAGCAACGCCGCGUGAGUGAAGAAGGAUUUCGGUUCGUAAAGCUCUGUUGUUAGGGAAGAAUGAUUGUGUAGUAACUAUACACAGUAGAGACGGUACCUAACCAGAAAGCCACGGCUAACUACGUGCCAGCAGCCGCGGUAAUACGUAGGUGGCAAGCGUUAUCCGGAAUUAUUGGGCGUAAAGCGCGCGCAGGUGGUUUAAUAAGUCUGAUGUGAAAGCCCACGGCUCAACCGUGGAGGGUCAUUGGAAACUGUUAAACUUGAGUGCAGGAGAGAAAAGUGGAAUUCCUAGUGUAGCGGUGAAAUGCGUAGAGAUUAGGAGGAACACCAGUGGCGAAGGCGGCUUUUUGGCCUGUAACUGACACUGAGGCGCGAAAGCGUGGGGAGCAAACAGG